rnacentral:rRNA from 1 species
CAGCAGCCGCGGGAAUACGGGGGGGGCAAGUGUUAUUCGGAAUGACUGGGCGUAAAGGGCACGUAGGCGGUGAAAAGGGUGGAAAGUGAAAGUCUCCAAAACACUGGCGGGGUGCUUUCUUGACCAUUUCACUUGAGUGAGAUAGGGGAGAGCGGAAUUUCGUGUGGAGGGAUCAAAUCCUAAGAUAUACGAAGGAACGCCAACCGCGAAGGCAGCUCUCUGGGUCCCCACUGACGCUGGGGUGCGAAAGCAUGGGGAGCAAACAGGAUCAGAUACCCCUGUAGUCCCUGUCUCUUAUACA